rnacentral:lncRNA from 1 species
CAUUUUAUAAUAAUAUAACAACAACAACAUAUUCAUCAUUUUAUAAUAAUAUAAUAACAACAUGUUCAUCAUUUUAUAACAACAACAUAUUCAUCAUCUUAUAAAAAUAUAAACAACACAUAAUAACAUCAUAAUCAACAUCACAAACAACAUCAUAUAACAACAUCACAACAACAUCAUAUAACAACAUCACAAUCAAUAUCAUAAACAACAAAGCAAUCGUCAUAAGCAACUUGACAACAUCAUGAACAUCGUAUAAUCUUCAUAGGUACUUCUUUAACAACACAUGGGUAGAAUAAAACUCAGCAACUCAUAGAUGAUAAUUCAUUAACAACUUGACAACUCAUGGAUGAUAAUUCAUCAACAACGACAUUGACUUGACAAUGCGACUCGAACUCGACUAUGCAACUUAGACCUCUUAUAUGCAUGUGGUACCAAUUCAGGGCAUGAGCCCCCAAAGGUUAUUGAGUAUUAAUAUACUUCCAGGGCAUAAGCCUCCAUCGCUAAUUUGAGCUAAAGCUCCAUCGUGGUGAGUACAAAGCUCCAUUGUGGUGAGUACAAAGCUCCAGGGCCUGAGCCCCCAACAAAUGUAUGCUAAUGCAUGGACUCGAUCUCUUAAACAUCAUAAUCAUCAUCUCUUAUAUUAGUCCAAUAAUUUGGAACAUCAUUAUCUUCAACAACUAAGACAACAUCAACAACUUAAGACUCCAAUACUUUGGAAUACUUUGGAACGACAACUUACAACUUUACAACUUAGACCAACACCUGCAACUUGAUCAAUAUUCAACAGCAACAGAAACAGCACAAGCAAUUCACAACAUAACAAUAUUAAUGUGAAGCAUCAACAACUUAAACAUCAUACAUCUUCCACAUAAGGCAUAUAAAUAUUUCACAUAACCAACAACAGCAACAUAGACAGCACAUAAACAUCUCAAGAUAUAACAAUAUCAAAUGAUAAUCAACAACAACUUAAACAUCUUAUAUAAUUCACAUAAUACAUAUAUAAAUAUAUUACAUUACCAUCAACAUCAAAUCAUAUUCAAAUAAUUCUCAAGUAAUGCAUAAAACAUUAUAUCACAUCAUAAUCAACAACAACACAUCUUAAACAUCUUCACAGAUUAUAAUUAGCCUCUUCAUUAAGUCUUAAUACUACCCAAAAGUUCAACUCUCAACAACUCGUGCAACAAAGGUCGCAAAGUCUCACAAGGCACUUUGUUUCCGGGUCACUCGUGAGGCGAGAGCCUCUGCUCGCCAUGGCGAGUUCUGGUCAGAAUCCCACAAGUUUCAUUCCAGGUUCAAUCUCAUCCUACAUUCUUUCCUAAUCAUUAUUAGUAAUGUUCAGGCACUCAAAGGCAUCUAAGGUUCAACUCAAAAGUCAAAAAUACAGAAUUCAACAUGCUCUCUGGUCAUGCUCGCCAUGGCGAGUAAGGUUGUUCGCUGUGGCGAGCUACGACUUAUAACUCGCGAGGCGAAGG